rnacentral:lncRNA from 1 species
CGACAUUUUGUCAAUUAAAGGAGCACAAUCCUUAACUGUCAGCCUCCUGGUCACUAAAGGGACACCAAGGUACCUAACUGGCAGCCUUCCCAUUUUAAUCCCAGUGAUUCUAAGAAUAUCCUCCAUUUCCUCAUCAAGAAUCCCAGAAGCAAAAAUUUCAGUCUUUGCAGGGUUAAGCUUUAAACCAGAAAAAUCAUAAAACUUUUGAAGCACACACCAAAUGCCCAC